rnacentral:rRNA from 1 species
UGGGGAAUUUUGGACAAUGGGCGCAAGCCUGAUCCAGCCAUGCCGCGUGCGGGAAGAAGGCCUUCGGGUUGUAAACCGCUUUUGUCAGGGAAGAAAUAGCUUGGGCUAAUACCUCGAGUUGAUGACGGUACCUGAAGAAUAAGCACCGGCUAACUACGUGCCAGCAGCCGCGGUAAUACGUAGGGUGCAAGCGUUAAUCGGAAUUACUGGGCGUAAAGCGUGCGCAGGCGGAUUCGUAAGACAGAGGUGAAAUCCCCGGGCUCAACCUGGGAACUGCCUUUGUGACUGCGAGGCUUGAGUACGGCAGAGGGGGAUGGAAUUCCGCGUGUAGCAGUGAAAUGCGUAGAUAUGCGGAGGAACACCGAUGGCGAAGGCAGUCCCCUGGGCCUGUACUGACGCUCAUGCACGAAAGCGUGGGGAGCAAACAGG